rnacentral:tRNA from 1 species
GGGCGUUUAGCGCAGUGGUAGCGCGUAUGCUUUGCAUGGUCCCUCGAGACCUGACUUGUAUAAGGUCCAGGGUUCAAUCCCCUGAACGUCCA